AACUGUCGUUGACAAUUACUACAAGCUAACUUUAUUUUAUUUAAUGAAUAGUCCGGCUCGACCGGCAGCACAAAGGAUCUAUGCUUUUCCUAUGCACUUGACGAAAUAUCAAAUGAAGUUCAGGAAAUUAAGUACAUUGAAAUAUAUGUAUGAAGGUAAGUGCGUGCCCAACGCCUAAAAUAACUUUGUUCCCAGUAAUAAAUUAUGAGCAUGGACAGCUCACCGUGUUGCCUCCCAGCCAUUGUCCAUAUUACAUAUUGUGCACGUAGGCUUCAACGUCGUUUCCAUGGGCGAUGAACAAGGAAUGAGAUCUCCCAGUAAUUUGCAAAUAUUUCAAUAGAAUAUUGCAUGCAAAAAAGUCGAACCAUGUGCGCCACACCAGGGAACAGAACAGAAUCCCUGUUCUGGCAUCUGCAACAAUAAAUUUCAAACGAAAAGGGGAAAUGAAUGGUGGAUGCUACACUGAAUCAACUCCAACUUUCCUGUCCAAUCCAUGAAGACGAGUUAAAAAAUACAAUUCCUGUCCUGCUCAGUCCCACCGAUCCUUUGACCAUGCUACAGCUCGUGUUGCUUUUGUUAAUUGUCGAGCAAGCUUUGAUUGCGAUGGAAAGGAUUAUGUUUUAAAAUAAAG
rnacentral:sRNA from 1 species